CGGACGGGUGAGUAACACGUGAGCAACCUGCCUUUCAGAGGGGGACGAACAGUUGGAAACGACUGCUAAUACCGCAUAAAAUAACGGAACCGCAUGAUUCUGUUAUCAAAGGAGAAAUCCGCUGAAAGAUGGGCUCGCGUCUGAUUAGAUAGUUGGUGAGGUAACGGCCCACCAAGUCGACGAUCAGUAGCCGGACUGAGAGGUUGAACGGCCACAUUGGGACUGAGACACGGCCCAGACUCCUACGGGAGGCAGCAG
rnacentral:rRNA from 1 species